GGCUUUGUAGUCAAAAUGAAUGAUGUUAGGUUGCAAUUCUAAAGUUGUAUUUAAUACUAAGGCCU
rnacentral:tRNA from 1 species